rnacentral:lncRNA from 1 species
ACAAUUAGCCUUGCGAUAAAUGCAUGCAGUGAAAUGUUGACUUUUUCACGGUGUCGUGGAUGGGCCGGCAAGGCGGGAUGGCGCCGUCGGACAGCCACCGGGGAGGGAAGAGACCAAGGGCUGUUGGGAUUUUUGAAUUCCCCAAUGUCGACAGGUGUCGUAAAGUCAGGAAAAGACGACACUUGGCUUUCGUAUUGGUCGCCGCCGGGCCGGCAAGUGGGUAUGGAGUGGUCAGAGCAAACUGGGAGACAAAUAGACCAUUUCUUGCGCCCCCAUUUCCAUGGCGGGGGUUUGAAUUCCAAGGGAGGAUUUUCAGGAAGUGGUGGUUCCAGACACGUCACUGGCUCCCAUGACAAUUUCAAUGAGGUAAAUAUAUAAAUGUGGUAAAACGGUUCGUUUUUUUACUUUAUGUGGUUUAUAUUUUUAUAUUGUUAUAAAAAUAAUUAUAACGAUAUAAAAAUAAGAAUAAUUAUAUCGUUAUAAAAAUGGGUUGCGUUAGUGAAAUAAGAUUAUGAGUUGUUAAAGAAAUAAUAGUGGGAGUUCGUAAAAAUAUAAAUUGUGCAAAGUGAAAUGUGUAAGGAUGGUAUGUAGUAGUUAAGUUUGUACGUGCUUUAAGUACUCAUUAGACGAUAUUGAUGGUCAAAAUACUAUCUAUAUUAUACGAUCUUUUGUCGGGAUGUGUGGACUUUGGUGUAUUUGUUCUCAUCUUGUGUCGUGUUGUAUACCCGGAUAUAUUCAAGCAAAUGUGGAGCUGGUUGUUGAACUUGUGAGCCGCGAGGUCGGGUGAAUUCAUUUCAAAAUCCAAGAGGGGUCAUCAUUCGGGAGAUCGUUGACAUGUUGACUAUGUUGCCUGAUUAUCGCUAACAAUCUCGCGAAUAAUGACACCCACCUCGAUUGAAAAAUAAAUUGACCGAGUCGUAUUCAAUCCACAACAAAUUGUUAUCUCCUUUAUAGUCUACUAGUACAAUACCAACGAAAACACCAACCACACACACGGGAAGAAAAAGAAAAACUUUGUUGGCUUUGGGAUAAGUCAUACCUUUCAUCAUAUGAGUAAAUAAGUCAAAUGAAAAAUCCAAAAUUCCAUACUUGUCACACAAAAAAACAUAUAUGUUUGGUGUAUCAAGUUAGCAACUAUCAAGACAUCAAGAUUCAAGGUAUAUUAAUGAAUAAUAAUAUAGUGUUGAAAGUUGAAACCUUUGCCAACAACCAUGCUUAAAAGUUUUUAAAAAAUUCCAUUUGGUGAUUUGAAUUAUGUCAAUUUUUUAACAAAUUAUACAAAAAUUAUCAAAUUCCGUGUGCUAUAUUAUGGUCAUAUCUCAUGUGAAUUGAAUCUAAUUAAUUGAAUCCUGACAAUCAAAAUUGUAAAAAACAANNNNNNNNNNNNNNNNNNNNNNNNNAAAAAACAAUGUCUGUUUAAUUAAAUAACUAGUGAAAUAAUAAGCUCAAAAUAUUAAAAAAUUGGGCUAAAAUCUCGAUCACUAAAUUUUAUUAAUAUAACUGUAGAUUCUUCCUUCUGAAAUAGUGUUUAUUUUCCUCCCACGAGUUUAUAUGUUCAAAUUCUAUUGUUAAUUUGCAUAGUGUGUAGCAACUAAAUCUACAAAAAUCUAAUAUUUUUUUUCCCAUUGGAGGAGUUGCAAAUCAAGAAGAUCAUACUUGUUCAAUUUAAUUAGCUUCGGAUAAGUGGACUUCAACAAUUAAUAAUUAUUAAAAUUUGGGACAUUGCUGCUGAGUGCUGAGAUCUUAGACGUGCGAUAGUAGGAGGCUAACAGCAUGAUGAUGUUCUAAAAUUAUAUUUUUGUAAAGUUAUUAGAAUGAUCGUGAAUGAAGAUUAUGUGUAUCGCGCUUCAAAUUUUGUAUUUGAAAAAAAUUAUAUUUCGAGUAAUGUACAAAUAGGUUAUAAACUUAUAAACAUCAUGUCACAACCUUGAUUACGUGAGGGACGCUGCCAUGUAUGCAGGCUACAAAAAAUAGAUGAAACCCUAAUUUCUCACAGAUGUACCGUCACAUCGCCACUUAUUAAAACAACUCAACAUAUUCUCGGUAUAAUAUAAUUUCGACUAUAAUUAUUAACAGUUUAAACGGUCAAAACCACAUAUCAUUACUAAACUUACCAAUUCCAACCCCCAAUACAAAUUUUAAAAGGCAAAACUCCUCAGAAUAUCACAAAUUUUUGGCUUAUUUCUCAAAUAUUGUACACAACCUACUAACAUUACAUUCAAUGUCAUAACCUAUCUCAAAGUCGGUGGCGGAUUCAGGAGGUUUCCUUGUGCCUCGGCCCAGUGCAUUUUUGAAUUUUGAAAUUCGAUGUUAUAUAAUUUUUUUUAUAUUUUUAGGUUGGUUGACAUUUUUUUCUAUAUACAGCCUAAUAUAUUUGAACUCUUAUACAAUUCGAAACAGUAUAUUAAAACAUCCUGAAUCCGUCGCGGUUCAAAGUAUGAAAAUUUUGCCACUCCAUUAAUUUUCGUGUCACUAUAAGGAUAAAAAGUAAAAACCAUGGUUCUGUAAAAUAAUAAUAAUAUACUGUUAUUAAUCACCCACGCAACAAAAAUUCUCACUACCUCGUCACGAAACUUUUCUUUAAAGGUGUUCUAUUCAACAAAGUACUACUACUGUUCCUGCUACUACUACCGGUCACUUCGUCGAUUCCAAUCCUUGAAUACGAUUUCUUAUACCCAUAAUCACCCAAAACAUUCGAAAACGAAAGCCCAUAGCCAUCCUUUCUCAAUCUACCGUCCAUUGUCCUUUCCCCAGUUACGCUAACUUAGCCACCCAAGCAAAAAAAAACCCAGUUCCACCACCGUCUGUUUCCAUUCCCCCCUUUACAGCAAAACCAAAAAAGAUUCCAAAUUCUCCACCUAUAAAUACACCCUCCAUUCUCUGAUCUCUCUCCCCUCCCUUUAACGAAUCUCCUGUCACAGGCUUGGAAAAAAAACAGAGCAGAACAAAAACAGAGCCUUCAGAAACAGAGGAGUUAAGCAGAAAGAAGAAGAAGGAGAAGAAGAAAUGAGACAUUCGGUUACUCUUGUGGGUAUUCUGUUUCUGAUUACGUCGGUGAUUCUCGUCUGUCAACCGAUAUCGGUUGAUUCGAGGGUUCUUCACCGACAUUCGAAUAACAGAGCUGUUGCUUCCGGUGCUACUGGUAGCUUCAUGCCUUCAUCUGAAAGUGUCAGCGGCGGCGGUGGCAGUGGCAAGGCGGCGGGUGUGUCGAGUAAUUUGGUGUCUGGGCCGAGCAGGAGAGGUGAAGGACACUGAUGAUCGGAAAUUGGCAGUGGGGGGAUAUGGUUUUUAGUUUUUACUGUACAUUCGUAUUUGUUGAAUUAGUUAUUCAUUCCAUUUGUUGUUUAAGCUGAUUAUUACUUAUAGUGUUUGUAUUAAUAGUAAGAAGAUAGAUAUUAGAUAGGAUGGGAAAUUCUUUCACUCUGAAUCUCUGAUGGAAUAAGAUGAUGAACAGACGGUGUUUACAACGGCUGAUACGAUUAAUACGGCGUCAUUACAAUACUGGCGCAGAUCGCCGGCCACUCGUUCCUAGUCUGACCGUUUUAACCCCGGACAAAGCACUGUAUUACAAGCCUGAGCUUUGACCCGGGCCUAAAUGAAAUUUGACCCGACAAGGCAGUGGCUGCACAAAAACGACGGGUCGAGAAGAUCCGGCCCAUAAACUCAAUCUUUCUACAUUAAUCUUGAUCCUUAGGGCCAUCAGGGGAAGGGGAUUUAAGCGGGUGGUAUGGCGACGAGUCGAUUUGGAGGAGGGUUAACUUGCUAACGUGUCAAAGAUAUUGUAUAUGUAGGAUCACGGUUCGUACUUAGCUGGAUCAAAGACAAUCAAGUUUCUUGAUUUUCAAACUUUCUAUCAUAGUAGGAGUGGAUUAAAAAAGAGGGUUAGGAGAACUCACGUCAAAAUAUGACUGAAUUGAGGUAUGAGAAUGGGAAAGGGAGGGGGCGAUGCCCGGUAAGGACCCCAAGGCGGGCUAAUAGCGGAGCCAAACUAGGCAAGUUGUGUCCAAGAUUUUUUCCGAGCCAAAGCGGUUCAGAAGUUUCUAACGGGUGAGGAGGAUGUAGUGUAGCUGGCGUCAGAGGAAGAACCGGAACCUAAACAAAAUUGGGAGGGACCAAACAGUAUACAGACGAUGAGACAAAAAGAGACGUCAAAUCUGAUCACCUGGACCAGUCAAAAUGUGAAGAAAAUUGAGAAGAAGCCAUUUGUUGAGUAGUGCCAAAUACCCAACGAUUCAAAUCAAAGGAAAAAUAUAGUGAUACGAAAAGAAUGCGACAUACUAAGACGAUGGAGAGAUGAUUCGAAAGCUGGCCCGGGUCAGAUCCUAGGAGCCACAAAUCUCGAAGGAUGCGAAUAGACCAUGGGAGGUUGAUGGAUGUAAAAUUCCAAAUUAUUUACAAUUACGAGAAAUGCAGGGCGUUUCUAUUGGAUCUUGAAAACAUUCUUCCCCCCCAAAAAAGGUGACAAUCUAUAGUUUUAAAUACAAAAAAGUUUCAAUUCCAUUCAUCCACCAUCCGUUUUCUUUUCUUCCCUCCAAAUCCUCGACGAAAUUCUUCAAUGGCGCGGAGGCCAAAUUUAGCUUCACUUCUCCUCCCAUUCCUCAUCGCCUUCUUAUGCUCUCCGAUCCCCUUAACCGCUCUCUUCGAAUCUCCCGCCGGCCGCCACCACCACCGCGUCUCAUCCGCCAAUGCCACCGCGAUGAUACUCCCGCUCUUCCCUUCCGUUCCCAGGACGUUCGCCAACCCUAACUAUCGCAGACAUCUACAGAGAUCGUUACGUGGCGUUUCUAGCUCCCUUCCUCAUGCUCGCAUGGGACUGUACGACGAUCUCCUCAUCCACGGGUAUAUUAUUAUUAUUAUUAUUAUUAUCGCCGUUUCGCUCUCUGCAUUUCUGUUUGGACGGAUUGAGUUUUGGUGAUCGGUGUUUUUUUUUGUCUUCUUCUUGAUGUCGCGAAGGUAUUACACAACGCACGUAUGGAUUGGGACUCCACCUCAGAAGUUCUCUUUGAUUGUUGAUACAGGCAGCACUGUCACUUAUGUACCUUGCUCCACUUGCGAGCAAUGCGGCCACCAUGAGGUUAGAUUCAUGAUCCUCGUUGGAUUCCCUCAGUUUCAUUUGUCGAUCUGCCAUUGCGAUUCCUAACUGUGAAAUUAGUAGAUGUUUGCUUAACUCUGUAACGUCUGUUUAUACCUGUUUGAAUCUCUUACAAGCCUCAUUUGGUAAACGAUUAUAUAUCGUUAGAGUCCUGAUUGGCUGAUUCUCGUUGAUUUCAUCAGUUUCAAUCGGGGAUCUGCUAUGGCGAUUUCAGACUGUGAAAUAUUGAUGUGAUCGCUUAACUGUAACAUCUGGUUAGACUUGUUUGAAUCUCCUAUGAGCCUCAUUUUGUAACGAUCCAUUAGAAUCCUGAUUCUCGUUGAUUUUCUCAGUUUGAAUCGUCAAUCUGCUAACGUCUGGUUAGACCAGUUUAAAUCUCACACGAGGCUUAUUUGGUAACGAUUAGGUCUCAUUUGGGCGAUUUUUGUUGCGGUUUAUCAUAGUUUAUUAUCAUCUAUAACAACAACUUCUUAUUCAUGAAUCCAGGAUCCGAAAUUCGAACCGGAAUCGUCAAGCACUUACGAGCCUGUGAAGUGUACGAUGGACUGCAAUUGUGAUAUUGAUAAGGGGGUCUGCAUUUACGAGAGGCAAUAUGCUGAAUUGAGCUCCAGCAGUGGUGUCCUUGGUGGGGACCUGUUAUCAUUCGGGAACGAGAGUGGGCUCGAGCCUCACCGAGCUGUUUUCGGCUGUGAGAAUUCGGAGACAGGCGAUCUCUAUAGCCAACAUGCUGACGGAAUUAUGGGGUUGGGACGAGGUGAUCUGAGUGUUGUGGAUCAGCUUGUUGGGAAAGGUGUGAUCAACGAUUCGUUCGCAUUGUGCUAUGGUGGAAUGGACAUUGGAGGAGGUGCCAUGGUCCUCGGUUCGAUACCUGCACCUUCUGGCAUGGCAUUUGCUUAUUCAGAUCCUUCCCGCAGGUGGGUUGGAUGAGAAGUGGUUUCUUUCUCCCUUAGAUGUAGUCUGUCCCUGAAUUCCUAACAAACUAUAUUGUUGAUACCUCCGGCACAUUUACUCUAGUUUCGGGAUGGCCACAGUCCAUACUACAAUAUUGAUUUGAAGGAGAUACAUGUUGCCGGCAAGAAAUUGCAGCUGGACACCCAAGUUUUCAAUGAAAAAUAUGGGACCGUCUUGGAUAGUGGUACCACAUAUGCUUACCUACCGGAAACAGCGUUUUCUGCCUUUAAGGAUGCUGUAAGCUUCCUCAUCCCUGUGUUUCAUCUUCUUUGAUCUAAAUUAUUGAGUGUGAUCUAGAUUGAUUAUGAAUUCAUGUCUCGCAUGAUAUCUCAACACUAGUAGCUUUACAACGUAUUAAGUAAAUUUCUCUAGUCAAUUCUAUAGGCAGGCUACUACAUUACGAUGAUAGUCUUUUAUUAUUUGCUAUUUCAUAUAAGAUCCGUUGACAUUCCAACACAUUUAGGUCCUCCUUCCCUUUAAUUAAUAACUAUAUACUUUUAUAAUCUGUUACUGACCUUAGAAAUAAAUAGAAACAUUCCUCUCCAUUAUGAAUAUCUUAAAUUUCUAUGUUUUAUGGUUUAUCUUUCGUGAUCUUCUCAAUUAUGCCUGCAGAUAAUGAAGGAACUGCAUUCCUUGAAGCAGAUUCAAGGUCCCGAUCCUAAUUAUAAUGAUAUUUGUUUUUCUGGAGCUAGCAGGUAUUCAUUAAAGAAACAUAUUUUACUUAACAGAUUAAUAAUGAAGCUGCGGUGUCGCUUACAAUAUAAAACUAAUGUCCUUUCAGUAAUGCACUGGAAAUGUCACGUUCCUUCCCAAGCGUCGAGUUUGUAUUUGACAAGAAGCAAAAAAUUCUGCUGUCUCCUGAAAAUUACUUGUUUCGGGUGAGUGUUUCAAAUUCUUAUUUCAGCAUAGUGUCCACUGAUCGAUGGAUUGAGCUUGAUUGGUGUGAAGCUUCUCUUGAUUUGUUAUGGAUACUCUUCUACAUUGUUAUACAGCACUCAAGGGUGAAAGGUGCUUACUGUCUAGGGGUGUUCCCCAAUGUAAACGAUCCAACAACACUUCUUGGAGGUGCGUUGAACCUUCUCCAUCCAGUGUUCUUUCCGGUGGUUCCGUGUCUUCUCAUUAUUGUUCUUGAUAUAUUGAAUAACUGAUUUCUUUACAGGAAUAGUUACUCGAAAUACUCUUGUUGUAUACGACCGCGAGAACACGAAAGUGGGCUUUUGGAAGACUAAUUGUUCGGAGCUAUGGGAAAGACUUCAAGGAGCUAGUUCCUCUCCAGCGCAAUCACCACAUCCAUCUUCCGAUGAACACAACCAGACCAAUGAAGCUUCACCGACUUUACCUCCUACUCUAAAUGACCAACCACAGUAUGUUCUUCCAGGUAUAACUCGCUCUCGUUGAAUAUCCUGUUAAAGUUAAAAAUCUUCUAUCCACUCAACUUCUGUAAAAAAUUGUUGUGUACAGAUGGAAUCUACAUUGAACAAAUCGAAUUCGAGAUGUCAUUUAAUGUCAAAUACUCUGAUCUGAAGAACAAGCUUGACAAACUGACGGAAUCCAUUGCUCACGAGUUGAGAAUCAACACUUCACAGGUUUACACUAGUUACAGUAUUUAUGAUACCUGCUCUUUUGAUGAGUGCAUAGUACAUUUUUGGUUCAUUCUCAGUUUUAUUUUGCGAAGCACAUUCAGGUCCACGUGGAAAGCCUUGCUCCGGAUGGAAAUGCUUCGCUCAUCCGGUGGUCCAUAAUUCCUGUAGGAUCUGAUAACCACAUCUCUAAUGGCACCGCUCUCGUAAGUCAUCCUUCCAAAAUUCGGUACCAUUAUCAUUGAUUCGAUGUCAGAGGACCAAAGAGGAAUGCUGUGAAAAUCAUGUUUGCAGAACAUCAUUACUCGAGUUGUUAAGCACCAAAUGCAGCUUCCUGCUUCGUUCGGAACAUACAAGUUAGUCCACUGGAAAGUUCAGGAACCUGAAGAACAACAGUAAGCCCGGUCCAGCCUUUCUGAUCAGGUUCUGAUCAAGUUUUACACUACUGAAAAAUGUACCUUGUGCAGGACAUGGUGGGAGACACACUACCUUGCCGUGGUUGUAGCUGGUACGAUAGCACUGGUCAUCGUGUUAUCGGGGAUCGGUUCGUGGUUGGUUUUGCAGCGUAGGCGAAGCGCAACGAUGGCUUACGAACCCGUCACUACUGAUGCUGUUGCUGAGCAGGAAUUGCAGCCUCUAUGAAAACACACUUAUUAAACUGCAUUCUGCUCUGUGAUGGAUGGCUUUGAAGAGUGGUCUUAUAAGUUAUAUCCAGGUUUGAUUCAUAAGGGUUAUCAAAUCGAUGUCGCUUCGUGACAUCCGCUUGACUCAUCAACGUUUCUUCGAGGUAGUAGUAUAAAAAAAUCAACCGUUCUUCAUCACCUCAUUCACCAUUCGUCCAUUUUUUUUUCAUUGAGUUCGACAGAUUUUCAUAGAAAGAGCUUUGACAAUGGGCCGGGUUGGGUAUUGGGUUGAACCGUACCCUUACUCGACGAGUAUAAAUCGUUAAAUAACCCGGCCAGACUUCCUUACAAGUAUUUAAAUAAUCUACACCACUAGCAUACAUCCAGUACUAGAAAUAUAGAAACUAAUCCAUAUUUGUAUCUUUGUGCGUAACAAUGGUUUAUUUUUCGAAAAACUGUAGGUGUUUUUGGGUUGGUUUUGUGUUGACUUUGUGAUUCGAUACAUUGUUUGGUUUCGUACAAAACAACGUCGUUUUCUUAGUAGGAUAAGAAUAAAGUAUUUUGCGAGCAAUGAUUUAUUAAGUACCCUAACUCGAUUAACACGUGAUACCCAAUAUGUCUUAUUUUCAUGAUUUUCAAAAUUGGACUGAAAAUUGAAUCGGUGAGUGAGGCUGAGCGUUCAUGGUUCGAUGGUUCGAUGGUCCGACCGGGUCUAGCGUGUGUUGGUUCACUUAUGUUGGUGUCAGAUGUAGAUAGCUCCGAUAAAUAUUCGUCUAGCGAGUGGGAAAGAGAGUACUUGGCCGACUGUAGAAACAAUGUGGUGAGACAAUUUUGGACACAAAGAUGCAUAGGGAUUGGGUAGUUUUUCGACGAAUAUAUGAUCGAGACAAGUUAUGGGUAUUGUAUAGUCUCAAACACGUUAUACGUGUCUAUUUAGAAUUGAACGAUAAGAAGAAACACGGUCUAACGAAAUGUUGCCUCGUAUUUUCAACCGCUUCAACUUCCGUACUGACCCUUUGGAUCAUAUAAGUUGGUGAUUAAUCCUUUGUCACUCAGGAGGAUAGAUAUGACUAUUCAUGUGAGAUUCAACGUAGAUCCAACUUCCUAUUCACUUGUGGGAUCCAGACGGUUCGGGAGGGACAACCACGGCUCCCCUUUUCUCGAUGGACUACUAAUAUAUCCCUUAUCCGUGCAUGGGCUGCUAUCUCUCGAGCAUAAAUUUAAGUUCGGCCUCAAUAAAAAAUUAAAAUGGAACACCUAACAAACAUAUCUUCACAGACCAAGAACUACGAAAUCACCCAAAUCACGUCUGCAAAAACGAGUGAUGCUUUCAUUUGACAGAGUCCAUUCAAACCCAAGGGAAAGUAAUGGCGUAAACUUGAGGUUAUUAUCCAAUGGGAUUCUCCGAAACUUCCAGGGGCGUAACCAAAACCCUGUAACGUUGACCAAAUAUGUGCGGCGUUGAUUUUGAUUGGAAAAUUGAAUAAAGUUCGUUGCAAUCAUUUGUAGGUGAUAUAAUAUAACGGAAUAAAGUUCAAAACUUUGUAACUAAUUAUAAGAAAUUCUUUUUUUUCGAAAAGUUUUGCAAAAUUGGAAUUAACUCAUUGAUGGGCACGUCGUUAAUAAGGUGAUUAAUUGAUAAAAGAUAACAGAUCAAGUUUAUCGAAUCACUAAUUAAAAGAUCAACUAUAGUAUCAUUGGAGCUUUGGGGUCGGAAGCCAUUUUUAAAAAUUGUGUGUGAAGAACUCAAGUUUAUACGAGUUAAAUCAUCUUUAAAUGAAAUUUUUUGAAUUUGUAUAACUUCCAUAAAUUUUAUGAAAUGGAUUGAGAAUAUGAGGAUUUUUAUAAUGUUUUAUUGAUAAAUGUUAUAUAGAAAAUUACCGUACUUUAUGUAAUUUGAAUGGUUGAAAGUGGUGUGAUAUUUUUGAAAAAAAAUUGUUAAACAACGAACAUAAAAAGGUCUAUACUUUUAUGAAUUUGAUUCCCACUUGGGAUUUUGGAGCUCAUGAUGUAACAUCUUUAUAAGCAUUGCGUAGGAAAAUGAAAAAAGGUGUACCUUUUGUUGUUUACUAUAAAGGUUUGGUAUCUUUAAUGUAAUUACUUUAUACAUUUCGAAUGUACUAUUGAAUUGUCGGAAUAGUGAAUUAGGUUCAUUGAAGAUCUUGAGCAAAAUUAUAAAUUUGAUAAGAGUUUGAAAAACACAUUAAACAAUAACGCAUUAAAAAAGAGUUUAGUUUAAAUUCUCUUCACAUAAAAAAAAUUUAGUCUGAAUUCUCUUUACAUAAUCACCUUAACCAUUUUUAUUCCGUCAUCGCUAACCUACCCUACCCAUAAUUUCCAUAAACAUGACAACAUGCGAGACCAAUAAUAAGGAACAAUCCAAAACACAAAUGAAAUGAAAGGUUUAAUUCCAAAACAUAUGAGGACGAAAAAUGUCUCAAAGUUCAUGUCUCUUCACCAACUUUCAUUAUUCAAACAAAUAAAUAAAAAAACGAAAAGGAAAAAAACUGACAGCGCCGGGUCGGGUCGAUUCGGGUCCAGGUACAGAGAAUAAAGCGAAAUCUGGGUGGUUGGUCUUCCCAACGAGAGGUUUUUGGAACUCCCUUUCUCUCUCUCUCUUUCUCUCAGGCCGUGAAUUUCUUGAAUUAGUCCUCCAUUGGAAAAAAGCUUCAAAGGUAGGGGCUUUCAGCUUUGAUCCGCAUAGGGUUCUUUUUGCUGUCCUUCAUUUCCGGUUUAAGCUUGUGGGUCUGUAUCAUUUCUUGGCCGGCUAUACAAGGUUAGUAGUCUACUGUAGCUGAAACCGGGAUGAAUUGAGAGCACUGUGUGAUUUCGCUUGCUCAAUCUGUCUUCUAUGAUUUUGCUGGAUGCUUACUUGCUUGCGUGCUAAAUUUUCAUCUCGCGGUGGUAGAAAUGAUUCAAGCUAGUCGAAGUUUCUAGUAGUUGACCGGUUCUGGGAUUCGGUGGUUUAGGGCGGGCUUGGUGUUUGGGUCAUCGAUGGAUUUUUUGAUAUGUUGAUCUGUUCAUUUAAUUUAUAUUGCUUCUCUUUAAGAGUGUAUGAGAAAAUUGAGAAGCUAGGCUGGCUUUUGCUUACUUCGUGAAUUUGAUCAAUGUUUGCUUUGUGCAAAUAUCACUAUGCAGUCUAUCCACAGUCUAUAGAAGGAUCAGCUUCGUUGUUUGUUUAUAAUUGCAUGGUCAAUCCAGCAAUUCAAAAUUGGUUGCGGAGUCUGGUUUUAACGAGUUCAUGGUGAAGUUCCAACUAUACUUGUUUCUGCUAGUAGCUGUUUCUUCCUGACAAAAGAUUAUAGCAGUUAUGCAUCUACGAAUGUGUCAACUAACUACUACUUUGCUCCUCUUUUGUUGUCACCAGCCACUUUGUGCCUGCUAGCACAGUUGUUCUGAAGUAUUUGUUGGAUUGGCCGUGAAUUUAGUUAAGGAUCAUCUCCUCACUUGGUGCUAGGAGUCUGCAUGCCAGCUUCGUUCGUGCUUCAACUAACAAGUCUGUGAUCUAGGAAGGUAAGACCAUACCGUUAGCAUAAUUUGAUUGUGUGAACUUAUCAAUCCUGUGAAAUGUUUUGGAAAGGAAAUGGACCUUAUGGUCCCCAAACAUAAUUUUAUAAAGGCUUAGCUUCAUUCCCUUCGUACCAGAUUAAUAUGACUGUGUAUACUUGAAUUCACCAUGUCAACUCCUCUUGAAUUUGAUUUGGUAUUGUUCCCUUUGCUGCUAGAUAAUCCUGUGAGUGUUACUCUGGUGUGCGGCUCUGAUGGAGAUAUCUCUAUUAAAAGUGCUUCUCAACAACAUCUCCUCUUUCUCUCAUCUAUCGUCGUUUGAGAACGUGAACUCUGGUCUGGCCCAGAAGUAUUUGCAGAAGGCAGAAGAAAUAUUUAAGCUGCUUAGGCCAAUACUUGAUUCUGUCGUCGAUUGUGAAAUAGCUUCCAAUGAGGUGCUUAAUAAAGACUUUGCAGAGUUAAGCCAAUCUAUUGAUGAGCUCAGGGAGCUCUUCGAGACCAGCCAACCAUUGUCGAGCAAAGUCUAUUUGGUGAGUUCAAAGCUCUCUUUCGGAUUUCUGUAUUGUUAGAAUGGAAACCCAUCACUUCAAUUUGUUAAAUUGAGUAACCUAAGCUGAUAUGUAGUACAGAAUUACAUCCUCAUGUUUAGUGCACUUUCAGCUGACAAAUAUGAUGCUAGUUUAUACGAGAAUUAUUCAUUUUUCAUAUCCUUAUAUAAUCCAGUAGUGAAUAGUGAUUAAUUAGAAUUAGUAACUAUCAAAUUUUGCGUUCAAGAGACAUCUUACUAUUUAAUAUUUACUUGCAAAUGUAAUUCUCUAGAACCAAGUAUGUGGCCAUCUGCAGGAACUUCGUUUUUUCUCUAAUCAUCUUCUUUUGCUUGUGUGCUGUAGGCUCUUCAAACUGAAUCAUUGUUGUCAAAGAUUCGCAAUUCUGGUCUGGAUAUUUUUGAAUUCUUGAAGUCUACCGAUGAGCAUUUGCCUGAAGAAUUGAGUUCAUCAUCUAUUGAGGUACAUUUUCUUGUACCACUUUCCCAAUUCAUUAAUUUUUCUGUACUUGGUAUUCUGGAAAAUGGCACGGGGUCAUUGAGUCGAAAAGAUAAGCGUUUGUUUCAUUCUAUAAUGUCUGAUACUUCUUUAUAAAAAAAAGAAUGUCUGAUAGUUGGAACCAACUCCUUGCAGUAUUGCAUACAGAAAAUUAAGCAACUGGGACUGGAUCAAACGUCCUCUACAGUUAAGGAAGCCUUAAAUGAUCAAGAUUGCUCUGAUAUCUUGGUCAAAAUCGCCGAGAGUUUGAGCUUGAGAACCAACCAGGAGAUUCUGAUUGAAGCAGUGGCACUUGAAAAACUGAAGGAGACUGCUGAACAAGCUGAAAAAAAUGGGGAGGUCGAGUUCUUCGAACAACUGAUUGCUCUGGUAACCAGGAUGCAUGAUCGCCUUGUUCUAAUCAAACAGUCCCAAUCCAGCAGCCCUGUCCCUAUACCUCCCGAUUUCUGCUGUCCUCUAUCGCUCGAGUUGAUGACGGAUCCUGUAAUUGUGGCAUCGGGGCAAACCUACGAACGGGCGUUCAUAAAAAGCUGGAUCGAACUCGGCCUUACAGUGUGUCCCAAGACAAGACAUACUUUGGGACACACUAAUUUGAUACCGAACUACACCGUCAAGGCCCUGAUAGCAAAUUGGUGCGAUAUAAACAAAGUCAAGCUACCGGAUCCUGUCAAGUCUGUGCAGCCUUCACCGAUUCUUGUCCAUCUCGGCUCUGGCUCGCCUAAAGAACCAACAAAGUCCAUAAGCUCAUCUGGAUUCUCCCCGGCUGGUUUUCUCAGGGAAGGAAGAAGAUCCCCUAUACAUCCGCGUUCCACUUCCGACAGUGCUUUACCCGGUAUAGUUGGAAAUGGGCAGGGAAUCCAUGAUAUUGAUCCUGAAGAAAGGUUUGGUAAGUCAGAGGAAAGUAUCAUAGAUUCCAUUGUUCAAUCCUCUGCAUCACCAUCUAGAAUGGAAGUUUCAGAUUCUGCUGGCGAAUCGCUUCCUAGGAGCAAUGGCCCGACUACGAAUGGAACAUUUUCUCGAGGAUCAUCAGGAGAUGCUAAUGACUCUCUUGAGGUGUCAAAUCAUCUUACUUCAUACAACAGCGACACAUCCGGUGAAGUGAAACCCGAACCACCGAUUUCUUCUGCCUCGAAUAGUUCUCGGGUGGAACCGGUAUUCUCUCCUCGAUUCGUUGAGGGCACACGGUCUCGAGGCCAGUCACUUUGGCGCCGUCCAACAGAUAGACUUCCUCGGAUCGUCCCUUCUCCUUCUACCGAAACAAGGGCGGAUCUUUCCGGCCUCGAAACCCAAGUCAAGAAGCUGGUUGAAGAUUUGAAGAGCUAUUCAAUCGACACGCAAAGAGAAGCAACCGAGCAACUCCGGUUACUCGCUAAACACAACAUGGAUAACCGGAUUGUAAUCGCCAACAGCGAGGCGAUUACUUUGCUAGUGAACUUGCUCCGAUCAACUGACAUGAAGAUUCAGGAGAAUGCAGUUACAGCACUUCUGAAUUUAUCCAUCAACGACAACAACAAAACCGCCAUUGCCGAUGCUGAAGCCAUAGAGCCGUUAAUCUACGUCCUCGAAACGGGAAGUCCAGAAGCCAAGGAGAAUUCAGCCGCUACUCUGUUUAGUCUCUCGGUCAUCGAGGAAAACAAAGUUCGAAUUGGAAGAUCCGGUGCGGUCGGGCCGCUGGUUGACCUAUUAGGGAACGGAACUCCGAGGGGAAAAAAAGAUGCUGCCACUGCAUUGUUUAACUUAUCGAUCUUCCACGAGAACAAGGCAAGGAUCGUCGCUGCGGGAGCGGUUAAGCACCUUGUGGAGCUGAUGGACCCGGCUGCCGGAAUGGUGGAUAAGGCAGUUGCGGUUCUGGCUAACCUCGCGACAAUUCCCGAGGGGAGGAAUGCAAUCGGCCAGCAAGGCGGGAUCCCGGUCUUAGUCGAAGUCGUUGAGUUAGGGUCAGCGAGAGGGAAAGAGAACGCGGCGGCUGCUCUGUUGCAGCUUUGCACGAACAGUACGAGGUUCUGCAACAUGGUGCUCCAAGAAGGUGCUGUGCCGCCGUUGGUGGCUUUGUCGCAGUCCGGUACUCCGAGGGCGAAGGAGAAGGUAAAACACCUCGUAUUUGUGUUUUUUAUGAUCUUUGGUUAUGAGGAGUUUGUAACGUGUUUGGGGGAUUUGUGAUGUUUGUGGGUUUGCAGGCGCAGUUGCUUCUUAGCUACUUCAGAAACCAACGGCAUGCUGGUAGGAACUGAUUGAUAUUCUUGGAGGUUGCAUAGAUGAUAACUUGUGUGAAUCAUUUGAUUCAGGAAACCUUAUAUAGAGAUGAUGUGUGUAAAUGAUUUGUGGAACUUGCAAAUAUAAAAGCACAUUAAGGUUGUUGGUUGGUGGUCGUUGGUUGAGAUAAUUUGAUUGGUAGAUGACUUGAUUAUGUGGCUUUGUCAAAGAUCUAAACUUGUCUGUUGGGGGUGACUCUUCGAUGCUGGGAUCAGGGUCAGGGUGUGGUGAGAAAUGCACCAAGGUGCGAGGUCUCACUACCCUGUAGACAGGGAUACACUAAGGUCCGGUGAGUGAGCGGUUACGUAUCCGUAACGGUGGAUGGUUGCCUGUGGUUCAAUUUGAUGGUGAUGUCAGGGCUAGGGUGCGUGAGGGCAUAUGGUUAAGUAUUAAAACUAACGGUGGGUGGUUGUUGGUGGUCCAAUUUGUUGUUGAUGCUGACAUCAAGGCCAGUGUGCGGGUGGACUAUUGGUUACCUGCAAGUAUCUAUAUCAUGCAGAUUCCAUCUCAUAUCCCAAACCCAUAUAGAUCAAAACCCAUUUGAUUCAGGAUAGAUUCAGGUACAUCCAAACCUGCUGGGACUAAUUCCAACCCUAUAGAUCGGGAGUGAGUGUUGAAUCGUAAUAGGUGGACUACUUAAGGCAACAAACUAAUUCGUAUGGGUAAAUUGAUACCUAUGUAUCUAUAUCACACGAAUUCCACCUCAUAUCCCAAACUCAUCGAAAUUAAAACCUAUUCCAUUCAGGACCUAUUCAGAUACUAAUUCCAACCCUAACCUUAAUCAACAAUGAAUAGCCAAGCUAAAUAUAUUUACUUAUUAGCAUCAAGAACUGAACAAAAUCCACCAAUCAUUAUUAGACAACACCAAAGAAGAAAACAAAAUAUCACAAGUGGGCUUACCGCAGCCAACAUGAUAAUAACCAAGACAAACCCCUGACCAAAGGAGGAGAAGAAGAAGAAGAAGAUAAUGGUGGGCGCCUCCUGCGCUUUGCAACCUAUUCAUCAGCUCGUCGGCUACAAAACAGGUCCGACUACCUAUUCAUCAAUCUGUUUAUCGCUCUGAGAAAAUGUAAUUCCAAGUCGAAAUUACUGCUAGGUUUCUGUGUAUCCUGUUCAUAUUUACUCAUAGUAAGCAAAAACAUUGGUUAGUUUUGUGCAGAUGAAAGUUUCAUUCUUUUGUGUUCAUAUUUUUGAGUCUGCAAUGAAAACAAUUCAUUUUUAUCCAGUAAAGUAUAAUACAUUGAAAGAAUGAUGAACAUUAAGAAACCCCAAUAGCAGGACACCUAAAGUUGUCAACUUUGAGAUUUACACGAAUCAGAAACACGACGUAUUCAAUCGAUAACGAUAGGGAUGUCGCCCUCGGUCAGAAUCUGAACCAUCCCGGUUCAGUGCAGUGACAGGAUGAGCAAAUGUAGUCUCAAGUCGAAAUUACUGCUAGGUUUCUUAGUAUCCUGUUUCAUAUGUACUCAUGGUGGCUGCUCUGCUGAUUACUUCUGCUGAUCUGAUUCCGUGUUUGUUGGAUUCGCAAUACAGGAGGACGGAUUCAUGUUUCCAUGAGAUUUUCCAGGGCGCUUUCAGGGUUAACCAACUUUAUUUUUAAUAGAAGGUACGCAGACUGAAGAUUAAUUUUCUGAUUUCCUGUUUGGAUUCUCAAUCAGUACUGUUCUUUAAUUGUAGCUGGAUGGUAACAUUGUGGAUUUGUAACUAUCAGAAUCGUACCUGGAGCACCCAACGUGAAGCGCAAAAUUCUUCAGCCAGGGAAACUUUCUCCUCGCCGACCUGUUCCUGAUCAUAUUCCCAAGCCUCCCUAUGUCAACACUAGGCAGUCGCCUGGAAUCUCUAGUGGCCCUGAAGUGCACGAUUUGAAGGGGAUAGAAUGCAUGAGAGCUUCUGGAAGGCUUGCAGCUCAGGUUCUUCAGUAUGCCGGGACUCUAGUAAAGGUAAUAUGAUCGAUCGAGUGGAGGGCUGUAUAUAUACGUCUAUAGAUCUGGUAGUUUGGGCAAUUGAGGGUGACAUUGUUCCUCAUUUCAUUGCUUCUUCUGGCAGCCAGGUGUAAAGACUGACGAAAUCGAUGAAGCAGUACACCAAAUGAUUAUUGACAAUGGUGCAUAUCCCUCGCCUCUAGGAUAUGGCGGUUUUCCAAAGAGUGUAUGCACUUCAGUGAAUGAGUGCAUUUGCCAUGGGAUUCCUGACUCCCGUGAGCUCGAGGUUAUUCCUGCUUCUUUCGUCUACUUGUUUGUUUUUCUCGCUCAACUUGUCUCACUUGAAGGUGUGCAUUUCCCGUAUUUUGCAGGAUGGUGACAUUAUCAACAUUGAUGUUACUGUUUAUUUAAAUGUAAGAAUUUCCAGUAGUUAUUUCGGUUAUCAUUUAACAUAAAAAAUUGGGAAUUUAGCUAGCUAGUAGAUGUCUUUGUUACCAUUGUUUGAGAGAAAGAUGAUAUCGUACAUGCAGGGUUAUCAUGGUGAUACUUCGGCAACUUACUUUUGUGGCGAUGUUGACGAUAAGGCCAGAAACCUUGUUCAGGUCGGUCAGCAUUUGGAAGAGUGAAGUUUUAUCAUCUGCUGGUUUGCAAAAGCACGAGUUACAUAUGAAUCUGAUCCUUUUCCUUCAGGUGACCAAAGAAUGUCUCGAUAAAGCUAUAGCAAUUUGUGCACCGGGAGUGGAGUUGAAGAAAAUUGGCAAGGCUAUACAGUAAGAAUAUUCUGUUCUACUACUAACAAGAUCCAUCAUUUGAAAUCGAGAUCAUACCCUUAGUACGAAUACUAAUCGAUGGUUGUUUUCCUUUCGUAGUGAUCAUGCAGAUAAACAUCGUUACGGUGUUGUUAGAACCUUUGUUGGACAUGGUGUUGGGCGAGUUUUCCAUGCUGAUCCUGUUGUUCUGCACUACAGUAUGAACCUUGAAAAUCACUACUACUAAUCUUCCUUGUUCGUAGAGUCGUAGAAAGAAGAUUCUCCUGCUAGAUUGAAUGUUUCAGCUAGAUCCAGCUUAUAAAUCUUUUUCCAGUCGUUUCGUUCAAUUUCACUCUAUAUUUCAUCUAGAUGCUGAUGUUAACAGUAUGACAGGGAACAGAGAGGGUGGGCGCAUGCAGCUGAAUCAAACCUUCACCAUUGGUAAUGGGGUUUCAUUUUUAAGUUUGCAGUUUUGCGUUUGGAUCUAACUUAGCUCAAAAUCUCUUGCUGUACCUCAGAGCCAAUGCUGACAAUGGGGAGCAUUAAUCCUGUGAUGUGGGACGACGAAUGGACGGUGGUGACCGAAGAUGGAAGCUUGUCAGCACAGUUCGAGCAUACGAUUCUGAUAACUGAAGGUGGAGCUGAGAUAUUGACCCAAUGUGAAUGACAGUCUCAUUCUUUGUCAAAUGGAAGUGUACAUCCAGUAGUGUUGUUUUUUUUCUUCUUUCGAACCAAUAGUGUUCAUUUAUUAAAGGCUUAUAUCGUAACAAACAGAGGUAACAGAAUGAUGUAACCAGUCAGGAGUAGCCGUCCCCAGAGUGGGUGAGGCAAAGGAAACGCGAAUGACGAGCGAGUUGGUGGGCGACCAAAGAAGUGACAAUAAUAGGCUACCUUUCUCGGUGUAAUCUGGUUCAUCCCGACGCAAGGCAUGGUACGUGUGGCAAGGCAGUCGGUCUCAAAGAUGAUGUUAGAAAGCUUCAACUCGGUUAUCCAGUGCAUGGCGAAUAAAACGUUCACCCUCGCAAGAUCCAAACCCCCCCCCCCCCGCCCACCCCCCUCACCCCCUGGUCACGUGACACAGCGCAGCAGUCAUACAGCGUAAUCCACAUUACAUCUGAGGUCCGACCCGUUGUAGUACAUCCAGUAGUGUUGUUAUUGCAUACUUUUGAUAGCUACUACAGAUGUGAGGUUGAAUACGAGAUAAGUAACAUGAACUCGACCGACAAUCGUGACAACUCCCUCUAAAACUUCUCAACCCUCAAACGUCUACCACAGAUACGAAGUUGGGCACGGUCCCAAGCCUGAAUUAGGUAACAUGAACUCGACUGACAAUCGUGACAACGACAUCAUUGGUCUCUGUUGAUUUUGAUGUGAUUGAAAUUAGAAGAGGACGAGAGGCACAUGAGUAUCAUACUAUCAUGUGGUCAGUAGGAAUUGUAUAAAAUCGUACGCAAAUUUCAGAAUUUAGAAUCUGGGGCCCAAAGGGGUAGAUGGGAUGAAGAAGAAGACAAACCAAACUAAAAUACUUGCUUGCAUCAUCACUAAGCAAACCAAACCCCAUCAAUUAUUGUAUUAUAUAUAAUUAGAAUUAUGCGAUUUUUAGAAAGUUUUAAAGAAUAAAUGAAGAUAGAUAAAUUUUUUUUGUUAUGAAAAAUAUAAUUAGUAAAAUGAAAACGUGAGACAAUUUAAGUUAUAUCAAUUGAAGAAUGAAGAAUAUCACAAGACUUAUAAAGAGUAGUAUGUAAGCUCAAAAUAAAACUCUAAUAAACUCAGAAUAAAGCCCUAAUAAACUCAAUGUAAAGUCCUCAUAAGAGAAUCGAACACUAUUCAUUCAAUAAUACUUCAUGUUCUCUUUUCAUAGAUAUAAGAUAUGACACUCCAAACAAAGAAGAUAAAAUCACAGAUUCUGCAUCAGAUUCGUACGAGUUGCGGGUAUCCAAAUUCGUCAAGGGUGAGAUUCAGAUAUCCAAAACCUAUUACGGAUGCAAUCAUACAAGCACUAAUGCACCAAAACUAAUUCUAACCCUAUAGAUUGAGUGUUGAAUAGUAAUAGGUGGACUACUUAGGACAACAGGCUACUUCAUAUAGAUAAAUUAAUACCUGCAUCAUGUAGCUAUAGUAGUAUUACAAACAGAUUCAAGCUUAUGUCCCAAACCUAUAAAGGUCAAAAUCCAUUCGAUUUAUGGAUUCAUGUAUACUCGAAAUCCGCUGGAACUCAUUCCUACCUUAUAGAUCGGGAGUGAGUGUUGAAUAGCAAUAGUUAAACUACUUAGGACAAUAGGCUAAUUUGUAUCGAUAAAAUCAAUACAUGUAUCACGUAUUUAUAUCACACGAAUUCCAUCUCAUAUCCAAACUCCAUAAAAAUUAAAACCAAUUCGAUUUGAGACUGAUUCACAUGCUAAUUCCAAUCCUAACCUUAAUCGACAUUGAAGAGCCAAACUAAAAAUACUUACUAGAAUCAGAAACUGAACAAAAUCCACCAAUCAUUAACCGACAACACCAAAGAAGAAAACAAAAUACUACAAGUGUGCUUUGUGUUUGGUCAAGCAGUAGAAAACAACAACGAAAAAGCUUAAUUCAGCCGACCGGUUAACUCGUACGGAUAAAUAAAUACCCAUGAUUGUAUAGAACACACAAAUCCGUACCAUAUUUGCAACCCGUAUGAGUUUCAAACAUGUUCAGACAGAUUCAAUUAUACUCAUAAAUCGAAACACAAAUCCAUACCAAAUUCCAAACAUGUUCGGACGGAUUCAGGUAUACUCGAAACCGGCCGAGACUGAAUCCUUGCCUCCAACCUCAAAUGAACACUAAACUGUGAUGGAAGAAUUAGAAGACAAAACCAAACUAAAAUACUUGCUUGCAUCAUCAAUUAUAUUAUAUAAAAUGACACCCCAAACAAGAAAUCAAAAUAGCACAAGUGGCUGGUGUUUGGUCAGGUUGUAGAAAACAACAAUAAAAAAGAGGCUUACCUCAGCCGAUAUCUCCAAUUAUUGUUGUCAUAUAGCAUUUCACCAUCUCUCAUCUCAUCAUCUCCGUCUCUCUGUUGCCACUUCCCAGAUCCACCUGCCUGCUCUCAUCUCCAUACUUGGCUUAAUUCUCAUCCACCACCAUCGUCAUUCAACUUGGUAUAUGACAAUCAUAUUCCUCCUUUGCUUUCCCCCCCCUUUAUAUACUGUAAAAAGAUAAGUCAUCUUGUCGUGCACUACUGGUUUCUUGUGUUCAGAAAUGGACUCUUAUUGCUCUCUAUUGGGUUUGUCUUUGAUUGUUUGUUUGGAUUCCGAUUCCUUGUUUGUGGAAAAUUUGUGUGGGAAAGGUCUCAGCUUUCUGGAUUUCCUCUGGUUUUUUCAGUGUCCUCUAUCCUAUUUCUGGGAAGUUGGACAAGUUUGACUUUUUUUUUUUGAAUUUUAUCUAUAGAAAAGAACAGUUUCUCUUCAUUGAUGAUUUGAUGAAAGUAUGAAACUCCCCUAAUUGAUGCCUUUCCUUUGGGUGUUGGAUUUUGGUAAAUUGCUCUUGUCCUGUAGCUCUUCAAGUUGGGAAUUCACUGUUAAAUUGGUUGGUUUUCACAGAUCUACUAAUAACUCAGUAACUUUUGUCUAUGCCCUUUUUGAUGUGUUCUUGUACAGGUGUUGUUCUUGUUAUUGUUUGUGGUAUGGUGGGUCAAGUUGCAUUGCUGAGCUAGAGAUGACUUUGAUUCAAAUAAUUGAAUUGUGAUUUUGGUAAAAUGGAACUCUUUGGACUUGUUCGCCAACAAGGAUCAUCUUUCCUAAAAAAAACCGAGUUUGGAAAAGUUGAGUUGAGAUUAGUAGAAGAAAAUUGAGUCGAGUUUGCAAGGAAGUGUGGAAGGAAACUUGAAUUAAAGGAUAUAAAGGACUCCGAAGAAAUACGAUAUCUACUUGAAAAUCUUUUAUAUAACUCCAUUCGAACUUUCCUCUCACAACUUCUCCCAACGCCAACUCAACUUGUUAGGGGAACACGACUCUAGUUGCCGAAUCAAGCCAUAGUCUUUCUGACUUGAUUUUCUGCUUUGGCGUAGUGUAUUACUGUUAGAUUGAAAAUCCCUUUUGAUCAACUGAUAGUUUGAAAAUCCCUUUUGAUACUGUUAUCAUAGUUUGAAAUUCCAUUUUGAUACUACUGUUUUCAUGUCAAGCUUGUUUGAUGUACUUGAACUAACUAACUUGAUUAUUACUUAUCAUCAUCCAUUUGUUGUUUCUUUCACAAGUUACCUUUAUGUAGUUAAGUUUCUGUGUUACACUACAUGUAAUUUGUCGACUGUGCAUUACGCCCAUUUACGAUUUUGUUUUAAAGUAGUCGCUUCUCCUCCUUUGGUCAGGUGAAUGAAGCUGAGGAAUACUGAACGGUGCAGAACAGGUUCCUCCGGUUGUGCUCUCUGCACCUACGUUUUGUAUCUACAAAUUCGAGGCUUUUACCCGAGAAAUGUCGUCAGAUACUUGCUAAACUUGGUCAACUGUCAGUCACUACUUCACUACACUACUCAGUAUCUUCACUUGGGAAGAUGGACAGGUCUGACACUUCAGGCUUCGUAAGUGGCGGACGACGAUACUCCUACUUCUUCCUCAAAGUACUGAAACCGCUCUGCUAGUGAUAAAAAGAUACAGCCUUUCCCCAAUUUCACUGUUAGUUUUUAGUGUUUAGCUCUAAAAGAUUCAGCCUUUCCUCAUGGCUCUCAACAGCAAUGAACAUGUGAAGAAUGACACCACCUUGAGCUUGAACUUUCUUGGCUACCAAGGGAACGGUACCUCUGGCAGUUUUAGCGGAGGCAAUCGAAGCAAUCUCGAUAUUGAUCUUGGGAAUGGCACGGACGAUGGAUGCAAAUUGGUGCUCGGUUUAGGUCCUUACAACAAUGUCGGAGUGGUUAGUAGCAGCAGCAGUAAGCCAAAGGGAUCUCUUGCCUCCGGUGUGUCGUGGGGAGGUGAUUCCAUCUUAAAGCUCGGCCUUUCUGGAGUAGCUAAUGAUUCGUCGAGCGGUGGAGUUGAUAGUUCUGUUGUUACACAGACCAAUCUGAAAGUACUACCUGUUGUAGAUGAGGGUUCUACCACGGCGAAGAAAUCCGGAGGAUACAUGCCUUCGCUUCUCUUGGCCCCACGAAUGGACUAUCCGAAAGUUCCACCACAGGCGGAAAGUAACGAUUUCGGAACCAAAAUUACUCAUUCUUCUGAGUUGGAACCGAGUUAUGAACCAUCUGCUACCACAGAUUUCUCAAUGAGCUCAGCCUCUGAGCAGGCAACUACGACAGCAACAUCUGGAAGCCAGCGGUCCAACAAUCCGAAGAAAUGCAAAUUCGUCGGAUGUUUGAAAGGAGGACGUGGCGCAUCGGGGCUAUGCAUUGGCCACGGCGGAGGGCAAAGAUGUCAAAAGCACGGAUGCAAUAAGGGAGCCGAGAGCCGGACAGCGUAUUGCAAGGCACACGGUGGUGGAAGGAGAUGCGAUUACUUGGGCUGUACGAAAAGUGCCGAGGGAAAAACUGACUUUUGCAUCGCGCAUGGAGGAGGGAGAAGGUGUGGAUACGAUGGAGGGUGCGCGAAAGCCGCGAGAGGGAAGUCCGGAUUGUGCAUUCGACACGGUGGUGGGAAAAGGUGUAAAGUCAACGACUGUACGAGAAGCGCAGAAGGACAUGCUGGUUUGUGCAUUUCGCACGGUGGGGGGAGACGGUGUCAGCACGAGGAGUGUUCGAAGGGCGCUCAAGGGAGUACGAAGUUUUGCAAAGCUCACGGAGGAGGGAAGCGUUGCGUAUUCGCAGGAUGCACGAAAGGAGCGGAAGGGAGUACACCGUUGUGUAAGGCGCACGGUGGAGGGAAGCGAUGUUUGUUCGAUGGUGGCGGGAUUUGUCCGAAGAGUGUUCAUGGAGGGACGAGUUUUUGUGUCGCGCAUGGUGGUGGGAAGAGAUGUGUGGUCCCUGGUUGCACGAAGAGUGCAAGGGGGAGGACGGAUUGUUGCGUUAGGCACGGUGGAGGGAAAAGGUGCAAGUUUGGAAAUUGCGGUAAGAGCGCUCAAGGGAGCACGGAUUUCUGUAAGGCGCACGGUGGUGGUAAGCGAUGCUCGUGGGGCGGUGGAGGAUGCGAGAAGUUUGCCCGAGGGAAGAGCGGUCUUUGCGCUGCUCACGCCACGAGCAGCGCAAAGAGUACUGGAGGUGGUGGUGGUCUGAUACGAUCGGGGCUAUUCCAUGGCCUCGUCGUAUCCGGUAGCAGCAGCGCUGAGAACCAUAGCGCGAUCUCGAACAGCUGUAUCGAGUCGUUUGAGCCACCUGCAAAGCGUCAGCAUAUGAUGAUACCACCACAGGUAUUGGUACCGCUUUCAAUGAAAUCGUCGCCGUCUUAUUCGAGUUUUUCAAGUAGGAACGACGGUUCGAAUAAGAGUUUGGAUGAGAUGGUGGUUCCUGAAGGGAGAGUUCAUGGAGGGGGACUGAUGUCAUUGUUUGGUGGGAAUCUGAAGAAUGUGGGAAUCUGACGAAUCUUGAAGAAUCUGUAUAUGUUUGGUUGUUGAUAAAUUUGUAGCGUAUAGCUUAGGAGUGUACUGUCUUUGUGUUUGUGUCUGUUACCCCAAAGUUUCUUUCUUUCUAUUUUUGAUUCUUCAGGUUUUGGGAUGUUGUUUUUGUGUUGGAAUAAGCCUUCCCUCUGUCUAUUUCUCUGUCUCAAGGGAACCUUGAUAUUAGUGUAUUAAGUUCAUACUAGUGUUUGCCUUUGCUUCUAUUUCGAAAAAAAUCGCAACCAUGUUUUCCUCUUCCUCCUCCUGAUCCCAAGGCCGAAUCCUCACAUUAAUCGUCAUAGUGGUGGCUAUGGUACUACUGUCCCUGAUCCCACCUUCCUCGGCAGGGCUCCUGACCGAAAACUAUCAUGCCCACAUCCUGAACGAGAUCAGUACAAACAAGGUGUUGUAUGUUCGUUGUCACUGCACUGACCACGAUUUAGGAAAUAACUACGUCAAUGUGCACGUUUUCAGGAGGACCAUUUGGAUGUGUUAACUCGCACCUUAUCAGAAGAGGAGAAGAAGAGUAGAAGCUACACAUCAUCCAGAGAAGGAAAUGCAUUACCGUUGGAAGAAGAUAACCAGAGUGACCAGUUUGCAACAGAGUGAAAGUUCAAUGACCAUAAGUGCAAGUUGGACGCUAUACGUUUAAUGAAGCUGUGUCGUUUCAUUUAAGUCGUUAUGUAAUAAUUGGACCACGUGGCCAUUUUCGUUUAUUACCGUUUGAGUUUGUUACUACAGUAAAAGGUGAAAGCGUUGUAACGAUAAGAACAGAGAAAAGAAGAAAUGAACCCUUGAGCCUUCAGCAUCCAUCUUCGUCUUCCUUCAUUCUCUCUCGUUUCUCUCCAUCGACCUCUCUCGUCCAUUUCUCACACACCUGACUUGCGUUACAUCGACAAGCACAACAAUUACUAUUGGGUUGCGAAAGAUGACGGUGUUUACAUAAGGGACAUCCUUUAUAAUAUUCAGUCUGCUGCCAAAUUACGAGGAACUACUGCAUUUCCCCUUUCAGUUGCUACUCAUUUCAUCUUCUAAUUCCGAUUGUUUCUGUUUGUGUGUGAUUGGGUGUUGCUCUCAUG